GACGAACGCUGGCGGCGUGCCUAAUACAUGCAAGUAGAACGCUGAAGAGAGGGGCUUGCUCUUCUUGGAUGAGUUGCGAACGGGUGAGUAACGCGUAGGUAACCUGCCUUGUAGCGGGGGAUAACUAUUGGAAACGAUAGCUAAUACCGCAUAACAAUGGAUGACACAUGUCAUUUAUUUGAAAGGGGCAAUUGCUCCACUACAAGAUGGACCUGCGUUGUAUUAGCUAGUAGGUGAGGUAAUGGCUCACCUAGGCGACGAUACAUAGCCGACCUGAGAGGGUGAUCGGCCACACUGGGACUGAGACACGGCCCAGACUCCUACGGGAGGCAGCAGUAGGGAAUCUUCGGCAAGGGGGGCAACCCUGACCGAGCAACGCCGCGUGAGUGAAGAAGGUUUUCGGAUCGUAAAGCUCUGUUGUAAGUCAAGAACGGGUGUGAGAGUGGAAAGUUCACACUGUGACGGUAGCUUACCAGAAAGGGACGGCUAACUACGUG
rnacentral:rRNA from 1 species